rnacentral:rRNA from 1 species
GUAAACGGGUGGCGUCAAGCUGCGAACCCAGAGGAUUCAGCUGGCUAGGAUGUUGUGAUGCGCCUGGCGCAUCCAUCAGUCGGAAUAAGAUGUGAUAGUCCACUGGGAGACGGUGGGCCCGGCCGUAAGGUUGGGAUAUGUGUACCGGGUGUUAGCCGGAGCAUGCUAUUCAUCUGUUGGGCUGUCUAGUCAGUGCAUUUUCUCUGUGGUGAACACCACGACCGGUGGAAUUGCCAGUCUGCUGUAGUCGAGUCUUGCUGAGAGGGUCCUUGUGGCCAACUUGGUGAGAUCACAGGCAAUGUCAGUGUACGGCGUGGGAGUGCCUUUGGUGUUCCUACGUGUUAUCGGGCGCUGCUUGUCAACGGGCCUGCUCGGCGGUUGUUGUAACUGCUGCUGGGUGGUCUGGUGGGCUAUGGUGGUAAGAAWAACUGUGCAAGGCACCGGAGUUGGCGGCUCCAAAUGCGCUCUGCACUGGCAUGUUACAAGUGCGAGGGGGUGCCAUUGCGGUCUGCCUGUUGUUGAGUCUGAUUGUCGUGUCGCCUGCGCAAAGUGGGCCCGGCAGUGGCUUGAUGCAGGAUGGGCUGUGGAUGGUGUCUCUCAGGUGUAGAGUGCAGGGAGCCCAAUAGUCAGUGGUGCUGUGGUAGACGAGCUACCCGACCCGUCUUGAAACACGGACCAAGGAGUUUAACAUGUAUGCGAGUCAAGGGGUCCUACGAAACCCAAAGGCGCAAUGAAAGUAAAGCUUCGACUUGUCUCGGAGUGAGGUGAGAUCCUGCCGUAACUCGCAUCGCUUGGUGCCAGCAUCAGGCAAAGAGCGGUGGGCGCAUCACCGGCCCGUCUUAUGAUGUGGUCAUUGGAUGUCUGCGGUCAUUCUUGU